rnacentral:lncRNA from 1 species
GAUCCCAGCACAUAAAAGUGGUGCACCCGCAUCGGGGGCUAAGUUAUCUGGAAAGCGGAGCAUAUAGCGAUGGUUAACAACAAUCAUAUCAGAAUAACCACCAUAAGUUUUUGUUCGGUCGUGAUCGAGUGAGUUAUAGGUAAAUAUUGUUCGUGGGCAGUAGUUCUCUAAGUCCUGGUCGCAGGUCUCACAUUUCAUGCAGGAACCUACUGUUGGCGUGACUUGUGGAUAUUGACUUACUUUCCUUACACACCAAGAAUUCAUAUUAUAAUUGUAAUUGAUUUACUUUAAUUCAUGAUUUCCUACUGUAAAUAGAUUUAGGAAUUUAUUAUUUACUUGCCCAUUCAGGUUUCAUUGUAUUAUAAAUAUGACCUCCUACAAGGAGAAGAAUACACAGAAAAUUCCCACAAACAAAUAUUCUCUCAUAGUUUUCAUAUUUUAGCAUGGUAUCAGAGCGGCGAUCUUGGAAUUGCUCACUUUAGUUUCAAACCCCCGCCACCGUUAUGGGGGUUGAUGAUUUUUUCAACCCUCAUGGAGGUAGCACCACCGACUCCUUCUCUCAUUCUCAAUAAACCAUCGUUGAGUUGAGUGCCCAGAUGGCUCCGCUCCUAUAAAUGCAGACUUUGACCCUGAACCCGAUCCAGAAUUAGGAUCCUCUUUUGACGACCCUGACCUCAACUAUGACGACGAUGACGACGACCCCGACCCCCACUCCGAUGAUGACCCCAAUCCCGAAUUUGUCUCUGAUUCAGACCCUGAUCCCGAUUUCGACUCCGACUCCGGCCCCGACACAGGCUCAGAUUUCGAUCCAAAUUCCUACUCAACCUGUAUCCUAUGCAUCUUCCGCUGCACAGAUUAUGACUUCUAGACUAACGACCCCGACACAUGGACCAGAUUGCUCAUAUUGUGGUGAUUCGAGACACACUUGUGAGACUUGUUUUAAAUCGCAUGUCUACCCCGAUUGGUGGGCUACUAUUACAUAUCGAGGACAAUGCACCAGUAAUGGUACUGGUUAUGGAUUCCAUACUUCCGAUAAGAUUGAUUCUAGGAGCUGGAUAAUUGAUUCUGGUGCAACUGAUCAUAUGAUGUUUGAUCCUGAUGAUUUUCUGAAUACUACACAACCUCGACGAACCUGUAUUGCAAAUGCCAAUGGUGUUACUUAUCCUGUGACAAGGGCUGGCACUGUUGCAUUCUCAUCCUCUCUCACAUUGUCUAAUACUUUACUUAUUCCAUCUUUAUCCACUAAAUUGUUGUUAGUUAGUCAGCUUACUGAAUUGAAUUGUUGUGUACUCAUUUACCCGAGUUUUUGUUUGCUUCAGGAUAUUCGUACUAAGGAGAUUCUUGGUUGUGGUACUAAGAUAGGGGGGCUAUAUUAUGUCGAUGACUUCAGUCCCGACGUGGCUAACAGUGUGACACAUCCGUUUGAUAGCAAACAAAAGCAAAUCUGGUUGUGGCACCGUCGAUUGGGACAUCCGUCUUUUAGAUAGCAUCUUAUACCAGAUUUAUUCUCAUGUUUCAAGGACUCCGACUUCACAUGUGAUACUUGUAUUUUAGCCAAGAGUCACCAUAUGCCCUACCCGUUGAGUACGAACAAGUGUACUCCUUCAUUUACGUUAAUUCACUCUGAUGUCUGGGGACCUUCGCCUAUCACUGCUCCUUCUGGUGUUCGAUGGUUUGUCACAUUCAUCGAUGAUUGUACACGGAUGACAUGGCUUUAUUUGCUGAAGAAUAAAAACGAAGUGUUUUCCCAUUUUCAGUCCUUCCACAAACAGAUGAAAACUCAGUUUAAUGCUCAAAUCCAGAUUCUUCACUCAGACAAUGGUGGAGAAUUUGUCAAUCAUGACUUUCAGACUUACUUCCAACAACAUGGAAUUAUCCAUGAGACGACUUGUCCUCAGACACCGCAACAAAAUGGUGUUGCUGAAUGAAAAAAUCGACAUCUUCUUGAAACCGCCCGAGCACUUCUGAUUAGCGCUCAUGUUCCUCGCCAUCACUGGGAUGAUGCUAUUGUCACCGCAGUUCACCUGAUCAACCGCAUGCCUUCUGGUGUAUUGACCUUUAAACUCCCUUACAGGUGCUUACGCAACACAGACCUCUGCCCUCUGUUUUGGUACUCACACCCCGAAUCUUUGGAUGUGUGGCUUUCGUUCAUCUCCACAAAAAUCAAUGUAGCAAACUUGAUCCCUGUGCGCUUCGUUGUGUUUUUGUGGGUUAUGCCACUCAUCAGAAAGGCUACCGCUGUUAUCACCCUCCUACCCAAUGAACCUAUGUCACUUUGGAUGUGACCUUUUUGGAAUCUGAGCUGUUCUUCCAUGACCCAUCAUCCAAUUCUACGCUUCAGGGGGAGAUACAAAGUGAAGAGCAAAAUUGGAGCAACUUAGAAAAUAAAGAAAUUCUCCUCUAUACAGAAAUGAUUGAUCAUCCUAAGUCUAGAGCACGAGAUUACUCUCUGUCGAAAAGCAACCAAUCGCCCAUUCAUAGCGAUCAAUUGCCUGACCCACCUGAUCCAUGCGAAGAUAUUUCUGAUCCGAGUCUCACACCUAUAGACAAUACAGAACAACAAGAUGAAGACCCCUUUCUAACUCAACAGUACCAACAGACCAAUCUCCUGAGAAUAUCCUUGAGGUAACUACUCCUACUAGACUUGUGCAUUUAUAUGAUAAAACUAUUGGAUAUCAAUUACCUUUCAGGCAAAAUCGUGGGAAGCCACCAAAUCGUUAUUCACUUGAUAUUGGCAAGACAUCCAAGUAUCCAAUUACAAAUCAUGUAUCCACUGAGAAGCUGUCUGAACCACUCAAGGCUUUUGUGCAUCAGUUGUCUGCUAUCCAUAUUCCAACCAAGGUCUCUGAAGCAUUGAAAGAUCCUAAGUGGGUCCAAGCUAUAAAAGAGGAGAUGAAAGCUCUUGAGAAAAAUCAGACUUGGACAUUCGAGACUAUACCUCGAGGAAAAAAGACUAUCGGAUGUAGAUGGGUGUUUACUAUAAAACACAAUGUAGAUGGAUCUAUCGAGCGAUACAAGGCAAGACUUGUGGAAAAAGGGUACACACAGACCUAUGGUAUAGACUAUGAAGAAACCUUUGCUCCAGUUGCAAAGUUAAACACCGUCAGAGUCUUAUUGUCCCUUGCAGCUAAUUUGGAUUGGCCACUACACCAGUUUGAUGUAAAGAAUGCUUUUCUACAUGGCGAACUCACAGAGGAGGUGUACAUGGACAUUCCUCCUGGAUAUAAUACUACUCAGACUGUAAUAGUUUGCAGGUUAUAAAAAGCAUUGUAUGGAUUGAAACAGUCACCACGUGCAUGGUUUGGACGGUUCACCAUGGCAUUGAAGAACAAUGGUUUCAAACAGUGCAACUCAGAUCAUACUCUGUUCUUGAAACAUCGAAAAGGGAAGGUAACAACAUUAAUAAUCUAUGUUGAUGAUAUGAUUAUUACUGGGAAUGAUAAACAGGAAAUAUCACAGCUACAAGACUAUCUGGCUACGGAGUUUAAGAUGAAGGAUCUAGGUGGACUCGAGUAUUUCUUGGGAAUUGAGGUGGCUCGAUCGCAGCAAGACAUAUUUCUCUCUCAAAGGAAAUAUGUCUUAGACUUGUUGACAGACACAGGAAUGCUAGAUUGUAAACCUGCGGACACUCCAAUUGUUCAGAAUCAUCAUCUUGGAGAAUAUCCGGAUCAAGUUCCAACUAACAAAGAAAGAUACCAAAGGUUAGUGGGAAGAUUGAUCUAUUUGUCACAUACUCGACCAGACAUUGCUUAUGUGGUGAGCGUUGUCAGUCAAUUUAUGCACUCUCCAAGUGAAGACCACAUGAAUGCAGUUCUUCGGAUACUUAGAUAUUUGAAGUCUGCACCUGGAAAAGGACUUAUGUUCUCAAAGCAUGGUCAUCUAAAUAUUGAUGGUUAUUCAGAUGCAGAUUGGGCAGCUAAUGUAACAGAUAGAAAAUCCACAUCGGGUUACUUCACAUUAGUGGGAGGUAAUUUGGUGACAUGGAGGAGCAAGAAACAGAAUGUAGUAGCUUUAUCCAGUGUAGAAGUCGAGUUCAGAGGCAUGACUAAAGGGAUUUGUGAACUUGUUUGGUUAAGAAAGUUGCUUACUGAACUUGGGUAUAAACCUACAUCCACAAUGAAUCUCUUUUGUGACAACAAGGCUGCUAUAGCCAUUGCACAGAAUCCGGUUUAGCAUGAUCGUACUAAACAUGUUGAGGUGGAUCGACACUUCAUCAAAGAGAAGCUUGAGGCUAAAGUGUUUCAGUUUCCUUUUGUGAAAUCCAAUGAUCAAUUGGCGGAUAUUUUGACAAAGGCAAUUUUCAGUAAAGCAUUCCACAAUUCACUGGAUCAGUUGGGCAUUGGCGACAUCUAUGCACCAACGUGAGGGGGAGUGUUGGCGUGACUUGUGGAUAUUGACUUACUUUCCUUACACACCAAGAAUUCCUAUUAUAAUUGUAAUUGAUUUACUUUAAUUCCUGAUUUCCUACUGUAAAUAGAUUUAGGAAUUUAUUAUUUACUUGCCCAUUCAGGUUUCGUUGUAUUAUAAAUAUGACCUCCUACAAGGAGAAGAAUACACAGAAAAUUCCCACAAACAAAUAUUCUCUCAUAGUUUUCAUAUUUUAGCACCUACUAUGACCCCAACUCCUACACAAUCACCUACUUUGAAUUUCUCCAAAUUCUUCCCAGCUUUGGUCACAACACCAACAAUUUCAUGCCUGGAAAAUCAAUUGAAAAUGUUCAACACACACAUGAAUGAUUUCACAGGAAUAAUAAAACGAUCAUUUCUGCUACGUUCUGCCAAAAGCAGAGAGAUAUAACAACCAAUUCCCAUACAUGAAUGCAAUUUUUUAUAAGAUAUUUGGUCAUAUGCAGAGGUAAACAGAAUAAAAAACAUUUUGAAAUGCAAAUAUUUAAAAUUAAAAAAACAAACAAAUAUGCAUGUUAAGAUUCCAAAUUUUUACAAUGACAUCAUGCCUUAUGCCUAUAAAAAGAUCCUUAUCGAAAUCAUUUGCGUUUGAUUUAUAACAAUCAAAUGAAUUCGAGCAUUAGUUCAUGUUUCUAGAGCCCCUUGCAUUCUACUAGGAUAGGCGGAGACAAGCACCAAACAAACAUAAACACCACCAAAAGAAAGCAUAAGCAAUUUGUUAAUAUCUGUUUGGAAAUCAGGGAUUGAUCAGGCAAUUUAACACUUCGUGUUUCUCCUGAAUAGAAUAUCCCCAUCAUAACGUCUUAGGCACAAUGCCCACGAAAAGCUAUAAGCCUGGAAAUAAGUUAAAAGUUGCACAUUGAUGCAUCCUCCUCCUAAUAGAAAAAUUCAGUCUUUGUUGUUAUAAAACAAAACAAUGAAGUGUUUGUGGUCAGAUAGGCAUACCCAAAACUAAGGGAAAGAUUGGCAACUCCAGGGGCUUGUCAGGCAAACCCACCGUGACCAGCUUCCCAUUCAGCUUCAGUAGACCAAUUAAUGGAGCCAACGCAUGAACUGCAGACACCGUGUCAAUGAUGUAAUCCAUGGUACCCAUUGCUGCCUGCAUAGUAAAAGCAGGAAACAGCAAAAUAUUAGGGUAAAUCACUAAAUAUUCUAGACCUUCUGAGAAGAGGAACCAAAAAAUAAACAUUAUGGAAUCAAUCUGCAGAACAACGUAUAAUGUGGAGUUGUUGAGGUAGGUCAUAUCAAAGAUCUGAGAUUUGUUCGCAGCAUUGCACCUAGAUGUUUCAUUUCUUGUAUUAUUUACCACUAGCCUCUUUGCACUGGUGCAUGAAGGGUGACUAACUAAACUGUUAUUGACUUCGAGGAUGACUAACUAAAUUGAUAAGUAUUGAGGGUAGUGGGAAAGAAAGCUAAGAACGGUUAUAUUUUACUAUAAAUUUGUAAACUAUUUCAAUGGAAUAUUUUACUCUUGUUAUAUAAAUUGGUUUGUUGUAGCCAUUUCUUAAGUGGAGCAUGUUAAGGGAUUUUGUAAGUUUCAUGGUUCCUCCUUGUAGAUAUAGAUUACCUUCAAUUUUGCAGGGUCACUUGAGAGGAGAAAAGAAUCAGCUCCAAGUCUCUUAACAGCCUCAUCCUCCUUUCCUGGGGAGGAACUGAUGACAGUCACUUUCAAACCAAAAGCCUUACCAAUCUUCACAGCCACAUGACCAAGCCCACCAAGUCCUGCCACACCCAAAUGCUUUCCAGGCUCAGUCAUGCCAUAAUAUUUCAUUGGACUGUACACAGUGAUCCCAGCACAUAAAAGUGGUGCACCCGCAUCAAGGGCUAAGUUAUCUGGAAAGCGGAGCACAUAGCGAUGGUGAACAACAAUCAUAUCGGAAUAACCACCAUAAGUUUUUGUUCAGUCGUGAUCGAGUGAGUUAUAGGUAAAUAUUGUUCGAGGGCAGUAGUUCUCUAAGUCCUGGUCGCAGGUCUCACAUUUCAUGCAGGAACCUACUAUGACCCCAACUCCUACACGAUCACCUACUUUGAAUUUCUCCACAUUCUUCCCAGCUUUGGUCACAACACCAACAAUUUCAU